rnacentral:rRNA from 1 species
GACGAACGCUGGCGGCGUGCUUAACACAUGCGAGUCGAACGGAAAGGCCCUGCUUGCAGGGUACUCGAGUGGCGAACGGGUGAGUAACACGUGGGUGAUCUGCCCUGCACUUCGGGAUAAGCCUGGGAAACUGGGUCUAAUACCGGAUAGGAGCCAUCCUUAGUGUGAUGGUUGGAAAGUUUUUUCGGUGUAGGAUGAGCUGGCGGCCUAUCAGCUUGUUGGUGGGGUAAUGGCCUACCAAGGCGGCGACGGGUAGCCGGCCUGAGGGGGUGGACGGCCACAUUGGGACUGAGGUACGGCCCAGGCUCCUAAGGGAGGCAGCAGGGGGGAAUAUUGCACAAUGGGCGCAAGCCUGAUGGAGCGACGCCGCGUGGGGGAUGACGGCCUUCGGGUUGUAAACUCCUUUCGCUAGGGACGAAGCUUUUUGUGACGGUACCUAGAUAAGAAGCACCGGCUAACUACGUG